UCGAACCCUGCAAAGCAGAACGACCCGCGAACACGUAAAAACAACCGAGCAUCGAGUGGGUUAAGCGCUUGUUUGAUCCUCUCGAUGCUUUGCCGAUGUGCAUUUACUUGUGUUCUUUUGGACAUGAUGAAUGCGUCGUUGGCGCCAAUAACAACCCCCGGCACAAUGUGUGCCAAGGAAAACUAAACUUAAGAAGGCUUGUUUAAUGUUGCCCCGUUCGCGGUGUGCUCAUGAGACGUGGCUUCUUUAUAAAUCGCGUCGCCCCCAACAAAUCUAUGUUGGGGGCGGAUAUUGGUCUCCCGUGCUCAUGGUGUGGUUGGCCAAAAUAGGAGUCCCUUCGAUGGACACACGAACUAGUGGUGGACGUAAAAACCCUCGAUCUUUGUUCUGUGUUAGUCGCAAGGAAAAACUCUUCGAAUACCCCAACGUGUUGUCUUCGGAUGACGCUUCGACCG
rnacentral:rRNA from 1 species